AGUUAAUAAAAAACGCACGUGUGGAGAAAAUAUAAUCAAAACAUCCACGAGAUUAUAAUAAUGAAUAAUUCGGGGGCAGCUGGACAGAUGUCGGGAUAUGCACGGUUCCCAGGGCCUCCACUUUCUGGCCAUCACUUCUCACCCAGAUUUACACAUAGAGGCCCACCCCCAAAACAACCCAAUUUCUACAUGUCACUCCACCAGUCAUCCGUAAGACAGCAGGUAUCAUACUCCGAUAUGAACUUAUUUAGCAAUGGCGCCAACAGACAGAAUGCAAAUUAUGCCUAUGGGAAGAACUUCAGCCAUCCUAGACCAAACUUUAACUCUCCACCCCCUCGGCACCAGGUUUCUUAUGGAGAUUCCAAUAUGUUUGCUUCUAAUACCGGCCAACAAUACAUGUUUAAUUCUCCACAAAACCCUCCUCCACCUCAGCUAAAUCAGCAAAAUGGAAACCAGUGGCAACAAAAUCAUGGACAUCAAAAUGGGCAAUGGAAUAAUCAUUUCCAAAAUGAAAGUACUAAAAUGAAUGGUAGUGUGAAUUUUGCAGAAAAUGGUAUGAAAACAACUCAUAACAACAGAAAACCUUGGAAUAACAAUGUAUGGAGUAAUCUACCAAAAGAUUUCAACAAGAAACAUGAACAUUUCCCCAAAAAGAAGAAAAAGCCCAAGGUAGACAAGAGGGACCUAGCAGAAAACAAUGUAUAUUUCUGUGAGACUUGUGACAGGGGAUACAAAGCUCAGGACAAAUACCAGGAGCAUAUUGACAGUCAUGUCAAGUGCAGACAUGAAGGAUGUUCAUACACUGCUCAUCCCAAACUGGUCCAGCUUCAUGACAGAACGCAACAUUCUAGUGGACUUGCAACCAAGAUAUGGAAAUUAGAAUCUCCAGAAGACAUUGCCAAAUGGAGAGAAGAAAGGAAAAGAAAUUUCCCAACAGCUGAAACAGUCAAAAGAAAGAAUGAGAUCAUACAGGAGAAGAUAGCCAGAGGUGAAGUCAUUGAGACAAAGACAUUUGGGAAAAUGAGGAACAAAGGUGGAAAAAAGGAUAAAUUUGGAAAGUGGAAAAACAAGAGACAGAAUAAUAGGAAUAAUCGUGGAAGAAGGGAAGAUGACUGUACAGAAAGUCCUCCAAAAAUUGGGGCACCAUCCACAAAGGUCGCUGACAAAGAUAAAAGAUUUGAUGCGGACCCGCUGUCACUGCUUGAGGGGCUGGAGGAAACUGUCCCCGAUUCUGACCAGGCUGUGUCAGCGGUAGGAGGACUAGCCACUCUGAUGGCCAACUACAGUGACAGUGAUGAGGAGAAACCCCCACAGACCAACAAACCGUUGCACACUGACAUACCAUCACAGAAUGACACACUGUCAAGUCAGUCUAAUACACAGUAGAUUCCUUAUUUUACACGAGUACUCGAUUCUGCAACUCUGCUGUUUUGCAUAAUUAAAUCACUAGAAUAUUGUAGAUUCCUAAUUAAUAUCUGGUUAAAUUGUGAUACGCACAUAUCGCAAAUCUUACUUUUAUUUUUUGGACUUAUGUUUACCACAUGAAACUAUGAUAAAAAAUUUGGCAUUUGCAAUUUUAUGUUCUCGCGAUUUGAUGGAAAACAGUUGAAUUGCAGAAUAAGUACUAGCGGAAAAUAAGGAAUUUACAGUAUUAAAAACUUUGGCUGUAAUUUUGUGUUCCCAAAUUAAUAAUAUUCUAUUCCCAUGAUUUUUCAGCUCACACAGUACAUGUUUAUUGGUUGAAUACCGGUAAUUUAUGCUUUAUAUGUUUGAGUUUGUGUAUUGUAUUAAUUUUGUUUUUGAUGCAACUUUUCUCUCCAAACUCAUUUCAAAAUUUUUUUGCAGAAAAAGAAAUCCAGUGUGUAGAAAAUGGGGAAAAUAAUGGCACCGAACAUGGAAACAAAAGGAAGAGAAAGAGACAUAGGAAAAAUGAUGGCGACUUUAACUCUCGACCUAAAGUCAGGAAGUCUACACUAUUAGAGAAGCUUUUGGCACCAAAUAUAAGAAGAGAAAGAAACUUGGUACUGCAAUGUGUAUACCACAUUGUCAAGGAGAACUUCUUCGGAGUCGGUAGUAAAAAGGAGGACAAGGAACCAAGUCUCGAAGUGACAUGUGAUAGUGCGGAAGGUUGUGUGAUCAAACCUGAGACUGAUGGUGAAAGUUGUGUCCCUCCAGACUCUAGUAAAACUGAAGAGACAUCGGAAGAAAAGCUGAACUGUAAAGAACCAAACCACUUAGACAUAAAAAUUCAGAACGUGGUCGUUGAUCCCCUGAAAAUUGAUUCCAUCAAGGAGUGCGUAAUUGAUGACCAUGCCUGGGCAUAAAAUCUGAUAGUUAAUCACUCACUUAUAACAAAAUAAAAAAAUAUAUACUGGU
rnacentral:misc_RNA from 1 species